rnacentral:tRNA from 1 species
GGAAGGUUGGGUGAGUGGCUGAAACCACCAGUUUGCUAAACUGACGUACGGGAUUCCGUACCGGGGGUUCGAAUCCCCCACCUUCCG